AGAAUCAACGCUGGCGGCGUGCCUAACACAUGCAAGUCGAACGAGAAAGUGGAGCAAUCCAUGAGUAAAGUGGCGCACGGGUGAGUAACACGUGACUAACCUACCCUUGAGUGGGGGAUAACCUAGAGAAAUCUGGGCUAAUACCGCAUAAUACCUUCGGGUCAAAGGAGCAAUUCGCUUAAGGAGGGGGUCGCGGCCGAUUAGUUAGUUGGCGGGGUAAUGGCCCACCAAGGCGAAGAUCGGUAG
rnacentral:rRNA from 1 species